AACGAACGCUGGCGGCAUGCCUAACACAUGCAAGUCGAACGAGACCUUCGGGUCUAGUGGCGCACGGGUGCGUAACGCGUGGGAACCUGCCCUUAGGUUCGGAAUAACUCCCCGAAAGGGGUGCUAAUACCGGUUAAUGUCUUCGGACCAAAGAUUUUUCGCCUUUGGAUGGGCCCGCGUUGGAUUGGCUAGUUGGUAGGGUAAAAGCCUACCAAGGCGACGAUCCAUAGCUGGUCUGUGAGGAUGAUCCGCCGCACUGGGACUGAGACACGGCCCAGUCUCCUACGGGAGGCAGCAGUAGGGAAUAUUGGGCGAUGGGCGAAAGCCUGAUCCAGCAAUGCCGCGUGAGUGAUGAAGGCCUUAGGGUUGUAAAGCUCUUUUACCCGGGAUGAUAAUGACAGUACCGGGAGAAUAAGCUCCGGCUAACUCCGUG
rnacentral:rRNA from 1 species